rnacentral:rRNA from 1 species
GACGAACGCUGGCGGCGUGCUUAACACAUGCAAGUCGAACGGAAAGGCCCUGCUUUUGUGGGGUGCUCGAGUGGCGAACGGGUGAGUAACACGUGAGUAACCUGCACUUGACUUUGGGAUAACUUCAGGAAACUGGGGCUAAUACCGGAUAGGAGAUCUUGCUGCAUGGUGGGGGUUGGAAAGUUUCGGCGGUUGGGGAUGGUCUCGCGGCUUAUCAGCUUGUUGGUGGGGUAGUGGCUUACAAAGGCUUUGACGGGUAGCCGGCCUGAGAGGGUGGCCGGCCACAAUGGGACUGAGAUACGGCCCAGACUCCUACGGGAGGCAGCAGGGGAGAAUAUUGCACAAUGGGCGGAAGCCUGAUGCAGCAACGCCGCGUGCGGGAUGACGGCCUUCGGGUUGUAAACCGCUUUCGCCUGUGACGAAGCGUGAGUGACGGUAAUGGGUAAAGAAGCACCGGCUAACUACGUG